rnacentral:rRNA from 1 species
UACGUAGGGUGCAAGCGUUAAUCGGAAUUACUGGGCGUAAAGCGUGCGCAGGCGGUUUUGUAAGUUUGUCGUGAAAUCCCCCGGGGCUCAACCUGGGGAAUGGCGAUGAAGACUGCAAGGCUAGAAUCUGGCAGAGGGGGGGUAGAAUUCCACGUGUAGCAGUGAAAUGCGUAGAGAUGCGGAGGAACACCGAUGGCGAAGGCAGCCCCCUGGGCUGACACUGACGCUCAGGCA